GUGCCAGCCGCCGCGGUAAUACAGAGGGUGCAAGCGUUAAUCGGAAUUACUGGGCGUAAAGCGCGCGUAGGUGGUUUGUUAAGUUGAAUGUGAAAUCCCCGGGCUCAACCUGGGAACUGCAUCCAAAACUGGCAAGCUAGAGUAUGGUAGAGGGUGGUGGAAUUUCCUGUGUAGCGGUGAAAUGCGUAGAUAUAGGAAGGAACACCAGUGGCGAAGGCGACCACCUGGACUGAUACUGACACUGAGGUGCGAAAGCGUGGGGAGCAAACAGGAUUAGAUACCCCCGUAGUCC
rnacentral:rRNA from 1 species